GCUUAGGCAAGUACUGAUAGGGUGCGUGAGCAGCAGGGAUGGAGUCCUGGCCAAGGAUAUUAAUAAUGUCCAGGAAUGUUGUGUGCUGCCCCAAGUUUUAGCCCAGAGGGGUCAUACAGCGCAGCUCAAAGGGAUUAGCUUAACCUGAGGCUAAGCUGCUCAUUUUUGCUGGUAUUUCCCUUGACCCUAGUCAAUUAUUUCAAUUCCUUGAAUAGUUUUUGUUGUUUGGUGCCUGGUUUGUUGUUCCUUUGCAUUGUGAUGUAUGGAGUCAGCAGGACCAGAGAGAGUCUGUGCUCUCCUUCCAGGCAGGGCUGGCAGUGCCUCGGGAUGCAGCCCAGGGAGGGUGAGAUCCACAGGGGCUGCAGAGCUGCAGGAGCGUGCCAGCGGGUUGUGGGUGCAGCAGCAGCAGUGACCUGGGGAGGGAUGCAAGUCCAGCAGCUAAAGCACAGUGAGGAGAAGCAUUAAUGAAGAUGGGGGGCUUUCUGCACUGCACGGUGGGGUGCACCUGUAGAAUGUGCCCUCAUGUCCUCGUUCACCUCAGUGAAUUUGAGUUGGUGUAUUGGAAAUGCAGGGAGGACUCUGUCACCUCUGCUGGCAGCCGGGGAGCCUGGAGCCGCGUGUGUUUGGGGGGGGGCUCUGUCCCCCAGCCCUGAGCUGUCUCUGCUGCAGGAUCCAGGUAGGCAGGAGUCACCUUGAGCGAGCUGCUGGGAACGUUUCCCCCUGCAAAGUCAGUGCUGGGGAUGCACCAUUUCUCUGGGGGCACCUCUGGCAGCUGCUGCACCCCGGAGUCCAUGGUGGGGGGGCUGAAUUUCGGCAGCACAGACGAGGGGAAGGUUCUGGGCUUGGCAGGUGCUUGGAGAGGAGCAGCAGCAGUGGCAGGUUUUGGCCUCAUUCCUCCACCGUGGAGCUGCCUCAUGCUUCUCCUCCACUUGCUGAAAUUAAGCAGAAAUCCCUGUCUUUAAAAUCCCUUUUCAGUUUGGGGGAGUGGUUGGCCCCAGGGACACAGAGGCUCGGGAGGUGAACCAUGGCCCCGUCACAAACCAGGGCACUCUGAGUCCUGGUGCCUUUUGCUGGCGGGUUUUCUGUGACAGAGCCUGAAACUGGACCAUUGCUGAGAUGUGGCACAAGUGGGCCUGGAUGGGGGCAAGCUGGGGGUCUGCCCCUCCCAGCCUCCCCAUAAAAGGCACCCACAAAUGCCCCAUUGCAGUUUGGCACGUGUUGUCCCCCCUCUUUGUCACAGAAAAGACAGCUUUGGGCUCUUGGUUGCAGAAGAGACAGCUCUGGGGAAGAAUACUUGCACUUUUUUAAUAACCUAUUUCUAUAAUUGAAGGAUUUUAGAUUUCUUUUGUAAGAGCAAGCGCCUGCUUAAACAUGGAGACAAAUACAACCAAUAAUAUGUACUUGAAAUUUAAUGCAGGCUAAUUCAUUUUGGCACAGUCCCAGAUAUGCUGAUUAAAUGGCCUGUGAAGUGCUACAAUAUCUUGAUAAUGUACAUUCUACAUUUGAUUAUAUAAUCAAUUAUGUUGCACCUAAUAACAUUUAAAAUUAGUGGAAAAGCCGUGAGCAGAUUGUAUCAGGUGCAGAGUUGGUCUUGGGCAGCUUUAGAAAAACUUCUGCCGGCAUAGACUGCAAAGGAGCAGGCGUAGAUGGAUCUUCAAAUACUCUUCUUCAGGAAACCAGAGACUUGAUAAAAUUUCUAAAUUUUAUCAAGUUGAUUUAGUGACUUUAAAUUUUGUUAAUUUAGUGACUUGAUUUAGAAUUAAAUAAGCUGUCUGCUGCUCCCCUGGUUUGCUGCUGGGAAAGGGACUAAUAUUUUCUGUCUAGAGAUGACCUUGCAGCACGUGUUCAGAACAGCCCCGGUGAUGUUGGCAGUAAUUCUGUGCUGGCUUUGGCCCCUGGGCCAGACCCAGAGCUCAGCUCUGCCUGUGGGGCUUUUCCUGCACCCAGCAGUGGGAACCAGAGCUCCCCUUCACUGGGUGUUCCUGCCUGGGGAGCCUGAGUGCUCAUUGCUGGGGACAGCCGGUUCCUCCAUGUAUGUGACAUUUCUCUGUGCAGCGAUCCCAGCCGUGGGCACUCCCUGCUCCAGAGGGAUGCCCCACCUGGGUGAUCACUGAGAUGGGCAGCCAGGAUCAUCUGGCAAAUGCUUGUCAUCCGUCUGGGGAGAGUGAGUGCUUUUUGGGUGACUGGCAAUGGCAGGUUAGGGGAAAUUUGUCCUGGGUUUUAUGGCCCUCCAGUAGAAGAGGGUUGAUGGGAAACAAAUGCGUUAUGGCCCCAGACAAGCUGUUGCUCCAUUUUUUGUUCUGUUUAAAGCAGCGCUAUCAACCAGUUGGAAUAUAGGCUUGGAGUAUCGCAGGGAGUAAUCUAAUUAGUAUGAAGUCAAUUCACUAGUUCCUUUUGUAUCUCGUGAUUAAAUAAGUGGGAAAAUGGCUUGAAAAUUAGGUGCUAGAACAACCCAAUUACAUUUCUGUAGCUUUUUGUAUUCAAUUUCAUAAACAAUUUUGCUCUUCGCUGGUUAAUCAGUGAAUGCCUUUUUCCAGUUUGAAAAGCACUUUUGAAAUUAUAAUGCAAUUAAAUUGUGUGUGGAUGUUCUGGCAUAGCGAGCGUGAGGGCUGGGGGCCUGGCAGCCAGCCACGCUCUACCUUGACAGUAAUGAGUUCCUGAGCUGGCAGCUUGCUGGUGUCAUUCAUAAUAUUGUCCAGGCUGGGGUGCAGGGAGAGGCUCUGCCCCUUCCCAGCCGGGUGGCCGAUCCUCGGCCGAGCUGGUGGCGCUGGCAGAGGCUCAGCGGGCACAGCCCGUGUGCCAGCACCCACCAGAGUUCAUCACAGAGCUGCUGAGCAGUGCCUGGGCGCUGUGGGCUUCCUCCUUUAUUUUCCCCCUCUUUCUUAUUCUCUUCUGAUACGAGCCUUUGCAAGGCUGGAGGCUGGCGAGGGAUGUGGGGGAUUGAGUGUUGUUUUCCUGUGGUGGGUAGGAGAACAUCUCAGUGUCCUGUUCUCAGAAUCACAGGAUGGUGUGGCGUGGAAUGGACCUUAAAGCUCAUCCAGUCAGAGUUUUUCAGCACUUGCUUUUUGUGCAGUAUUUGUCUCGUGGUGAGUGGGAGCUCAGUUCAGCCUCCUGGGGAAGGGUGACCAAGCCUGCCUGAUCCCAGGAUUUACGGCCGAGCAGCACAAGGGGAGAGGCAGAAAGCUGUGUUAAGGGAAAAAGAAAUAGUGCUGGAAAUAAUGACUUGCUUGGCAGGUUUUAACAAGUUCAGUAAUGGUAUUAGGUGCCCUUGGCUCAAGAUAGUAACCUCCUCUUAAAUGAUCAUUACCUGGCUAAUAAAGAGCUCAGAGUGGGUCAUUACAGCUUAAUUUAGAUGUAGCAUCCUGUUUGGUUUGCACAGCGUGGCCAUCUCUCAAGUUGUUGGAUCUAUUGCCUGAAUAUGAGGUGGGGACGUGGGAUUGCUUGGGUUUUCACACAGGGACUCUCCCCCAGCCAUCCCAGGACACAGGUGUCCCUUCCCACCCUCACCUGGGAGAGAGGAGCUGGCCUCAGCACCGGGUGACCACAGCCAGGCAGGAAGAUGUGCAGGACUGGGGGGUCCAGCCUCGAGUCCCCCACACUGUCCCAUCCUCUGCUCCCUCCUGGUGAGCCCUUGUGCUUUUCUCACCCCAUUAGCAGCAAGUUUCAUGUGCAAAUAAUUACAAUAACCAGCCCCCACACGUUAUUAAUAUUUUGAAGACAUCUCUUUGAUAAGCCCAUCUUUUCAGCCAAUUUCCUAUUUCUUCAGAAAGCAAAGCAUCUUUCCUCCCAGUUUUGUAAAUCUGUUGU